UCCUGGCUCAGGAUGAACGCUGGCGGCGUGCUUAACACAUGCAAGUCGAACGAAGCCAAAAGGAAGCUUGCUUCUUGAAGCUUAGUGGCGGACGGGCGAGUAACGCGUGAGUAACCUGCCCUUAAGUGGGGAAUAACACAGAGAAAUCUGUGCUAAUACCGCAUAAUGUCGGAGAGCCGCAUGACUCUCCGACCAAAGGAUUUAUUCGCUUAAGGAUGGACUCGCGUCCGAUUAGCUAGUUGGUGAGGUAACGGCCCACCCAAGGCGACGAUCGGUAGCCGAACUGAGAGGUUGAUCGGCCACAUUGGGACUGAGACACGGCCCAGACUCCUACGGGAGGCAGCAGUGGGGAAUAUUGGGCAAUGGGCGAAAGCCCUGACCCAGCAACGCCGCGUGAAGGAAGACGGUCUUCGGAUUGUAAACUUCUUUGAUUGGGGAAGAACAAAAUGACCUACCCAAAGAACAAGUCACGGCUAACUACGUGCCAGCCGCAGC
rnacentral:rRNA from 1 species